rnacentral:rRNA from 1 species
CGCACGGGUGAGUAACACGUAUCCAACCUGCCGUCUACUCUUGGACAGCCUUCUGAAAGGAAGAUUAAUACAAGAUGGCAUCAUGAGUUCACAUGUUCACAUGAUUAAAGGUAUUCCGGUAGACGAUGGGGAUGCGUUCCAUUAGAUAGUAGGCGGGGUAACGGCCCACCUAGUCUUCGAUGGAUAGGGGUUCCGAGAGGAAGGUCCCCCACAUUGGAACUGAGACACGGUCCAA